rnacentral:rRNA from 1 species
GGCCUAACACAUGCAAGUCGAGGGGUAGAGUUCUUCGGAACUUGAGACCGGCGCACGGGUGCGUAACGCGUAUGCAAUCUACCUUUUACAGAGGGAUAGCCCAGAGAAAUUUGGAUUAAUACCUCAUAGUAUACAGACUCGGCAUCGAGAUUGUAUUAAAGUCACAACGGUAAAAGAUGAGCAUGCGUCCCAUUAGCUAGUUGGUAAGGUAACGGCUUACCAAGGCUACGAUGGGUAGGGGUCCUGAGAGGGAGAUCCCCCACACUGGUACUGAGACACGGACCAGACUCCUACGGGAGGCAGCAGUGAGGAAUAUUGGACAAUGGGCGCAAGCCUGAUCCAGCCAUGCCGCGUGCAGGAUGACGGUCCUAUGGAUUGUAAACUGCUUUUAUACGAGAAGAAACACUGCUUCGUGAAGCAGCUUGACGGUAUCGUAAGAAUAAGGAUCGG